AACGCACCUUGCGCUCCUUGGUAUUCCGAGGAGCAUGCCUGUUUGAGUGUCAUUAAAUCCUCAACCUCAUAUUCCUUGUGAACGUGAGGUUGGAUGUGGAAGUUUGCUGGCCUUGCAGUCAGCUCUUCUGAAACGCAUUAGCAGGGCCGCUCUAUUGCGAGGCUGUCGCUUGGUAUUGAUAGUUGUCUUACCAGGGCUUCAGAGUUAGCAAUGUGCCCCAGCUUCUAGUCGUCUCUCUGGGACAACAACUUGACGAUUUGACCUCAAAUCAGGUAGGACUACCCGCUGAACUUAA
rnacentral:misc_RNA from 1 species